rnacentral:rRNA from 1 species
UACGUAGGCAGCGAGCGUUUGUUCGGAGUUACUGGGCGUAAAGCGUGCGUAGGCGGUGGUCCAAGUCUGGUGUGAAAUCUCCCGCUUAACUGGGAGGGUGCGCCGGAAACUGGGCCGCUGGAGUACGGGGAGAGGCAAGCGGAAUUCCAGGUGUAGCGGUGAAAUGCGUAGAUAUCUGGAGGAACACCCGUGGUGCAGACGGCUGCUGGACCGUGACUGACGCUGAGCACGAAAGCGUGGGUGCAA